rnacentral:sRNA from 1 species
GACAACAAAGGAGACCUUGAAUAAAUUGCUGUUAAUGUUUGAGUAUUUUGUAUAAAUUAUUUAAUUUGAAAUGCGGCGAAAAAAACACAACACACACGGAUGAUGCAUUUGAGAAUGCAGUAUUUGUGUUUUGUUUUGGACGCAUAUACUAUGUACUAGCAGCAAUCUGCUAUACCUUCUACACCAACUGAUCGAAGAGGGAAUAGCUUAAAUGAACAAAGUGGCGGUAAAUUAUUUAAAAUUCAAAUUUGUGCUCCGAAGAAAUUGCUGAAAGAAAAGAAAAUUGAAAAAACCCCCUACGAAUACAUAAAAGCUCGUAAAAGAAAGAAAACAACAACAAGCAAUAAUCGCUGAGUGUGAGUGAAUAUACAUAUGUAACAAGGGAGCAGAGAAAGAAGAAAGAAAAAAAAACCAACAACAAUAAAUGUUCGACAUCUUGAACUUGAACUUGAAAAACGUAAAAGCCGUAAGACUUUAUGGGACAAACCGGCAAGAAGGCAGACAACCAACCAGCCAUAAACCAACAGCUUUCAUAUUCAGGCCACAACACAACAAAGACGUUAGCGUCUGUCGUCGUAAUCGUUGUUGCCGGCAGUUUAUGUGGUAUAUGUAUAGGAGCUGUAGUAUGACAAUUGUUGUUGUUGUUGCUGCUGCUGCUUAAGGGCUUACCAAUCAUAAUCAUGAUAAUCGACAUAAUCGUCGUCGACAUCAUCAUCAACAGCCUGAUAUGUUGCCCUCAUCAUCAUCUUCAUCAACAUUAUCGAUUUGACAACACAUAUUGUUGUUGACUGCUUCUUCUAACUGGCCGUCCGUCCGUCCGUCCAUCUGUCUGUACCUCUGCCUUUAGAGAAUAUUUAUCAUGCCUCACUCAUCUAAAGACUUUCCUUGGUGUUUAUGAAGACGAGGCGCUGAAAAUGAUGUUGUUUGUCAGCCCAAUAUUUGUUGGAGGUGUCGCUUCUGUUGCUGCUGUUACGGCAUGGUUAUGAAUAUCAAUGUUGCUACUUUUCUUAGCAAUAUGUAUUUUUCUUUAGACGUUCAUACAUACAUGCGUUUAUGAAUUGAUAUCAACAUAUGUAUGUAUAUAAAUAAAAUUCUCUAAAAUAAAUCAUGUCUUCAUUUGCCAUAUUCCACUUCUAA